AUAAUUGAUUGAUGAGCGAUCAAGAAGGCUCAUGGUGUGGGCUAGCGACCUCCAUUGAACUUUGGAGGAAUGUCCACUUAAGGUCAAGUUAAAUGGUCGAAUCUAUAUCAUAAUUUGUGACAAUAGAGACAUUGUGUUUUCACGACCCCUAU
rnacentral:snRNA from 1 species